rnacentral:rRNA from 1 species
CAAGAAACUGAGAUCUUGAGUGCAGGAGAGGAAAGUGGAAUCCCCAGUGUAGCGGUGAAAUGCGUAGAUAUUGGGAGGAACACCAGUGGCGAAGGCGACUUUCUGGACUGUGUCUGACACUGAGGCGCGAAAGCUAGGGGAGCGAACGGGAUUAGAUACCCCGGUAGUCCUAGCCGUAAACGAUGGGUACUAGGUGUAGAGGGUAUCGACCCCUUCUGUGCCGGAGUUAACGCAAUAAGUACCCCGCCUGGGGAGUACGGCCGCAAGGUUGAAACUCAAAGGAAUUGACGGGGGCCCGCACAAGCGGUGGAGUAUGUGGUUUAAUUCGACGCAACGCGAAGAACCUUACCAGGGCUUGACAUUGAGUGAAAGACUAAGAGAUUAGUUCCUCUCUUCGGAGACACAAAAACAGGUGGUGCAUGGCUGUCGUCAGCUCGUGUCGUGAGAUGUUGGGUUAAGUCCCGCAACGAGCGCAACCCUUAUCCUUUGUUGCCAGCGCGUAAAGGCGGGAACUCAAGGGAGACUGCCGCAGACAAUGCGGAGGAAGGCGGGGAUGACGUCAAGUCAUCAUGCCCCUUAUGUCCUGGGCUACACACGUACUACAAUGGGCUUAAACAAAGCGCAGCAAAACCGCGAGGUUGAGCGAAACGCAUAAACAAGCUCUCAGUUCGGAUCGGAGGCUGCAACUCGCCUCCGUGAAGUCGGAAUCGCUAGUAAUCGUGAAUCAGAAUGUCACGGUGAAUACGUUCCCGGGCCUUGUACACACCGCCCGUCACACCA